UCAAACGAGUAUAUUCUUGGAUCUUCAUGUAGCUCUAACUAUUUAUCUUUUUCAAUUAAAACAACACUAACUCUUAUUCACCAAAGCCAAUCAAUUUGUUUUCUUUAUUGCCAGCCAAUCAUUGACUUCUAUCUAUCCGUUCAAAGUGACAAGGUUCAUGCUUGAUUAACUUUGUAGUGGGUUGAGGGGUUUUGCUUGAUGGAUAUUAAACCACAACUUGGAUUCG
rnacentral:lncRNA from 1 species